CCAGCAGCCGCGGUAAUUCCAGCUCCAAUAGCGUAUAUUAAAGUUGUUGCAGUUAAAAAGCUCGUAGUUGAAUUUCUGUUUGAGUCGCACUCGAAGCCUUUUGGCGACUUGUUCGAUCAAACAUUAUGAACUUGCACGUGGCAACACGCGUAUGUUCACCUUUACUUUGAGAAAAUUAGAGUGUUUCAAGCAAGCAUCCGCUUUGAAUACUACAGCAUGGAAUAAUACAAUAGGACUUUAGGCCUAUUUGUUGGUUUCAGGCCUGAAGUAAUGAUUAAUAGGGACAGUUGGGGGCAUUCGUAUUGGAUGGUCAGCGGUGAAAUGCGUGGAUUCAUUCAAGACGA
rnacentral:rRNA from 1 species